rnacentral:rRNA from 1 species
UGAACGCUGGCGGCGUGCUUAACACAUGCAAGUCGAACGAGAAAUGUAGACGGAAACCUUCGGGCGGAAGCCUUCAUUUCGAGUGGCGGACGGGGGAGUAACGCGUGGGUAACCUGCCUCAUACAGGGGGAUAACAGUUGGAAACGACUGUUAAUACCGCAUAAGACCACAGCAUCGCAUGAUGCGGGGGUAAAAACUCCGGUGGUAUGAGAUGGACCCGCGUUCGAUUAGCCAGUUGGCGGGGUAACGGCCCACCAAAGCGACGAUCGAUAGCCGAUCUGAGAGGAUGACCGGCCACAUUGGGACUGAGACACGGCCCAAACUCCUACGGGAGGCAGCAGUGGGGAAUAUUGCACAAUGGGGGAAACCCUGAUGCAGCGACGCCGCGUGAGUGAAGAAGUACUUCGGUAUGUAAAGCUCUAUCAGCAGGGAAGAAAAUGACGGUACCUGAGUAAGAAGCCCCGGCUAACUACGUG